rnacentral:snRNA from 1 species
AGUUUUGUGCAGUGGCAGUGUCGUAGCCAAUGAGGUUUAUCUGUGGCGCGAUUAUUAAUUGAAAACUUUUCAUUUGUUUUCCUAAAAAAAUGAAUCCUAGAAAGACAUAGUAUUACUUCCUCAACCUGUUUUUGUUGUUUAAUUAAAAAAUCUGCAAACCACUGUGG